rfam:Triticum aestivum genome assembly, contig: Triticum_aestivum_CS42_TGACv1_scaffold_592334_7BS
GCUCAGUUGGUAGAGAAUAAGGCUCUUAACCUUAUGGACAUGGGUUCGAGCCCCAU